AGGAGAAGGACAGGGAGAAAGCAUGAUAUGAGAUACUCUUGCUUUCAACCUUUAUGAUAUGAAAUACUUUUUCUUUGGAUGAGUUGUUUGCAGAGGUACCCCAAGGAAUAAAGAACACUGAGUGACUCGAGAGGGUUUGUUGGAAAUGCAUUCUCGGAGAAGAAGAGACGAAGGGUGAGGGGUGACAUUUAUAGGAAUUAAUAACCGGUACUAUUCUUUCACUCUUGUCAGCAACCGUUGGAUGAUUUAAUAGUAAACUUCAUGUGCUUUCUACUUCACAAGAGAUCUUCGACAGAUUGCCCGUAAUUUCUGCAAAGCUGAGUGUGCAUGUGACAGGCGCUGACACGUUUGGAAAAACAAAUGCCUCUUCGAUAUCUGGAAUCGGCACUUCGACAAACUGCUCGUGAUUUCUGCAAAGCUGACUCUGCAUGUGACAGAUGCUGACACGUUUGAAAAAGCGCUUCGACAAACAGCCCGUGAUUUCCGCAAAGCUGACUCUGCAUGUGACAGAUGCUGACACGUCUGGAAAAGCAGAUGCCUAUCUGAUUUCUGAGCUUGCCUCUUCAAUCUCUGAAAUCUCGUCGAGUGCAGAGGUUGCAUGUGAUAAGUGCGGACAAAUCUGGAAAAGAAGAUUGGUCGUGGUUUCUGAGCAAGCCCAACUUUUGAGAAAGCUAGCGCCUCUUUGAUUUUUGAGUUGGCCUCUUCGAUUUAUGAGCUCGCCUCUUCGAUCUCUGAAAUCCCAUCGAGUGCUGAUUUUUAUAGAGGUACACAGGACGUUCAAAGCACACUUGAAUUUCUGCCUGUAAAAACUCUCUUCUUGCACUUCUACGAUCUUG
rnacentral:lncRNA from 1 species